UACAGAGGUCCCAAGCGUUUGUUCGGAUUCAUUGGGCGUAAAGGGUGCGUAGGCGGCGCGGUAAGUCGGGUGUGAAAUCUCGGGGCUUAACUCCGAAACUGCAUUCGAUACUGCCGUGCUUGAGGACUGGAGAGGAGACUGGAAUUUACAGUGUAGCGGUGAAAUGCGUAGAUAUCGUAAGGAAGACCAGUGGCGAAGGCGGGUCUCUGGACAGUUCCUGACGCUGAGGCACGAAGGCCAGGGGAGCAAACGGG
rnacentral:rRNA from 1 species